ACAUAUUUCAUGAUUUAAAUUAAAUUUUGAAGUCUAAAACAUUCGUUUAAAGUAAAAUUAUAACUAUUUGAAUAUAAUAAAAACAUUAAAUAAAAUAUUCUAUUUUCUUAAAACACAAUAUUUUCAAAGUCUUCCUAAAAUAACUUUUGUAGCGUAAGAGUAAAAUAAAUUUAUUCAUAUAGUAAUAAAGAUAAUUAAAGUAUGAAAUUUCGUUUACAAUGACACGUGGGCCCCCAACUAACCAAGAAGGUGUAGAGCUAUGAACCCUUACUUCCUGUGAUGCAACUCCGAGAUUAAUUCUUGUCUUAAUCAACUAUCAACAAACUGUCCUGAGCCUGAAAAAUGGAUAGGAAGAGGGGUGAGAUUAAAUAAUCCCAGUGAGUAAACAAUUACCAUCAAAAGCAUCUAAAGCCGAGUAGAUGGAGACAAUAUAAAAAC
rnacentral:lncRNA from 1 species